AAACACAUUGAGGAUGGAUGAUUUAAUUUGAAUGGAAACGGAUAUAUCAAUCAUACCAAUCUAAAAAGAGGCAAUACUAAGUGGUCUUGUUAAAUAUUGAUGGAUGUAUUAUUGUGAAAGGUAGUUAUCCUGUUAUUACCUUUCACUGUCAAAUGCAUGAUGUUUGUCACUUGUAAAUUGUUGUGAAAACUACACUAAAAAACCAUACAUAAGUUCUUAUCAACUUAAAAUAAGUUGAUGAUACGUUAAACAUUUGAAAGGAAAAGAGAAGCAUGUAUAAGCUUAUAUUUAUGUUCUGUUUUACUUUGUUCUCUGUUAAGGGUGAAUUCUGCAAGACCCUUAUUACUCUCUUCGAGAAGCAUAAACGUGCAGGCCACCUUCAAUUUGUAGAGUAAGCAUUGUUCUGUAUUUCACUGGUUUGUUUUGGUCUGCCAGUUUGAAGCUGUGACUACCUAAGAGGAGUGCAGAGUAUAUUUUCAUCUGUCUGUAUGCAAACUCCUUCCCCAGGCAAAUUCUUGGACCCGCCUGUGUCACAGUAUCACAGUAAGUCUCAAGUUCUGUAGAGUUCUAGAGGACAAAUCUUAUGUAAUAAAAAAAAUUCUGGUUAUUUUAUUUUAUUGCAUAAACAAAAAUAAAAUCUCCUACGUGAAAGGCUGUGAACUUAAAAGGGCUUUCUUUCUUCAAAAUUCCAUUCUCAUCGAGCCAUCUCUCUGGCCUGAAUUUGUCGGCAUCUUCGCCCCACAAGAACUUCAUCCUUCCCAUAACAUACGGUUGGAAUGACACAAGAUCACCUUUCCUCACGCUAAAUCCAUCUGGCCACGUGUCAUCUGAGAAACAAAACUUACCUUGCUACAAAGGCAUCAUAAAAUUGGUACGGCAUCUUUUCCAGGUUCUCUUCAGUUACUCUUGCUGCAAGUUCGUCAAUGGUUGACCCAGCUGCUACAUUUGUUGUCUCUCUAAUUUCUUGUUCAAUCUUCUCCUGCACGUGAGAGUUCUUGCAAAUCUCAU
rnacentral:sRNA from 1 species